GGGCCGUUGGGGAGGUUUAUAUAAACUCUCCCCUGGCCUUCUGUCCCAUUCUUAUCGCCUUCUUCCAGCUUUUCUUCCUUCAGCCUUUCACGGUCCGAAGUUCUAUUCUCCGGCGUCUUCCCCAGGUCGUCCUUUUUUCUUUCUUAAUCCCUUUCUUCCCUUACAAUGGGUUCUCUCCCCAGUGAGGUCGAGUCUACCAUGAGCGUCCUGGAGGUCGAAAUGACCGAAGAGUGGUUUUUCCCUCUUCACGGGUUCCGCUUGGAACCCGCCAGGCGUGGGGAUCGGGUAACCGAUCCUCCGGUAGGCCGGAUUGGAG
rnacentral:lncRNA from 1 species